UUUUAACUGUUUUUUGACACGUGCUAAAAAAUGCAGCACCUGGUUACAAGGGCUUAUUUGACAAAUUAUCAUCUUUCGUAAUUUAAGUUAUAAAAUCUAAAUUUUAAGUGAUCUAAAAUGUUCAUGACAAACGAGUAUUUUCACUUGUACGAUUUUUCUGUGAAAUGAGUCUAAGAGUAUAUACAUGUAUAUCAGGAUACUGACUGCAUAGUAAAAUAUUUAUGUACCAUUACAGUUGCGACUCAUUUUGGUCUUUUAAGUAAGUUUCCUUCCCCUGCAUUACUUGAUCGCUUUUGUAAAAAAUAAACAGCACAACAACAACAGCUCUCGACGUCAGUAUUGUACCAAAAAAUGAAAAAAAUAUUCAAAAAGAAGGCUCAUAAAAUUCAAAUAUUGGACAAGAACUAUAGAAGAUGCAGAGAAAUUAUAAACAGCAGAAAUGAUAGGCAAUUUAAAAUUUGCAGAAGUCAACAAAACCUAAAUGGUGAUCAGACAUCUUGGUUUUUAUGAUCAAUAGGUCAAUACUGAAGAGGAAACUGAAAGUUGAUAUCUAUCUACAUGGUGCGCUAAUUGGAUUAAUGUGAAAUGGAAUGUGUGCUUUCCUUCAAAAAAGAAAUAGGAAAUUUCAUCAUAAUCGCAUGAUAAUGGCUAUAAACAAAAUGGAGUUCUAUCAUAGAUGCAGAAAAACACAAUUGUAUAAAUGCAACAACAUAUUAUAUAUAUUCGUCGAAAGAAGGGAGAAAUGAAGAAAAAAAUAGUAUUUUGUUGUUGAAAGGAACACCAGCUUUAUCCACUCAUUUACAUCUCUCCCUCAUAUCAAAUAUACUGAAGAAGAUCUUCGAAGAACAAAUUGCAAAAAUGUUUUCUCUAAGAAUUGAAGGAAAUUGUUUAGUGAAUGGAAUAAUUUAUGUUAUGAACUUUUACGUAGUGAAUUGAAUAACUGUACACAGCAGCUGAAACAGAGGAAAAUUAAAAUUUACAAGAAAAGUGUUUAUUUUAUUAUUUAAUUUGCAAAUAUGAACGCAUUCUUAAGAACUCCACAAAUGGUAUGACAUUCAAAUUGGUUGCCUAUUAAUGUAUACAAUUGAAACAAUUACAAAGAAAACAGAAUACUUUGCUACAAGAAAUAUUUUAAAAAUCAAAGUUAAAGUCAUAUAAAGUAUGUACAAUACCUUGACCUAAACAGUCAGACUCACUAUAUUGAUUUUGUAUGUCAUGAUAAUUUUGAGUCAAAAAUUUAUUAAAGUUUAAAUAUCAUUUG